rnacentral:rRNA from 1 species
GACGAACGCUGGCGGCGUGCUUAACACAUGCAAGUCGAGCGAGCGGCGGACGGGUGAGUAAUGUAUGGGGACUGCCCGAUAGAGGGGGAUAACUACUGGAAACGGUGGCUAAUACCGCAUACUAUCGGAUAACCCAUAUGGGAUUAGCUAGUAGGUGGGGUAAAGGCUCACCUAGGCGACGCUCUCUAGCUGGUCUGAGAGGAUGAUCGGCAACACUGGGACGGAGCAACGGCCCAGACUCCUACGGAGGCAGCAGUGGGGAAUAUUGAACAAGGGGCGAAAGCCUGAUGCAGCCAUGCCGCGUGUAUGAAGAAGGCCUUAGGGUGGUAAAGUACUUUCAGCGGGGAGGCGUUACCCGCAGAAGAAGCAACGGCUAACUCCGUGCCAGCCGCCGCGGUAAUAC